UACGAAGGGUGCAAGCGUUAAUCGGAAUUACUGGGCGUAAAGCGUGCGUAGGCGGUUUCUUAAGUCCGUUGUGAAAGCCCUGGGCUCAACCUGGGAACUGCGAUGGAUACUGAGGAGCUGGAGUACGGUAGAGGAAGGUGGAAAUUCCCGGUGUAGCGGUGAAAUGCGUAGAGAUCGGGAGAACAUCAGUGGCGAAGGCGGCCUUCUGGACCGUACUGACGCUGAGGCACGAAAGGCGUGGGGAGCAAACAGGG
rnacentral:rRNA from 1 species